GGCACCGUGGCGGAGGGGUUACGCAGCGGCCUGCAAAGCCGUGUACACCAGUUCAAAUCUGGUCGGUGCCU
rnacentral:tRNA from 1 species